CCUACGGGUGGCUGCAGUGGGGAAUAUUGGACAAUGGGCGAAAGCCUGAUCCAGCCAUGCCGCGUGUGUGAAGAAGGCCUUCGGGUUGUAAAGCACUUUCAGUGGGGAAGAAAGCCUUGGGGCUAAUACCCUCGAGGAAGGACAUCACCCACAGAAGAAGCACCGGCUAACUCCGUGCCAGCAGCCGCGGUAAUACGGAGGGUGCGAGCGUUAAUCGGAAUUACUGGGCGUAAAGCGCGCGUAGGCGGUCUGAUAAGCCGGUUGUGAAAGCCCCGGGCUCAACCUGGGAACGGCAUCCGGAACUGUCAGGCUAGAGUGCAGCAGAGGAAGGUAGAAUUCCCGGUGUAGCGGUGAAAUGCGUAGAGAUCGGGAGGAAUACCAGUGGCGAAGGCGGCCUUCUGGACUGACACUGACGCUGAGGUGCGAAAGCGUGGGUAGCAAACAGGAUUAGAUACCCUUGUAGUC
rnacentral:rRNA from 1 species